GUCGCGGUGGCUGAGCGCUAAAGCGCUUGACGUAUGAACCAGGGGUCCCAGGUUCGAAUCCUGGUGAAGACU
rnacentral:tRNA from 1 species